GUCACAGUGGACAGACAAUGCCGUGAUUAAUUUCUAUUCCGUAGUGAUAAAGUUAGAUCUUAUAAUUUUUAUGUCCGGCGUGUGCUCAUGUCUUGUCCAUUUAUUGUAAUUCAGAUUCACCAUACACCUGACAUACCCUCUAAAGAGCUGCGUUAGAGCUUUGGUCAAUUUUACAUUUGUAUAAAAAAUGUUCAGUCACUACUGACCAAAUUACUGUACAGGUAAGAGGAGACUGAAAGGUGUCGGCUAUGGAACAAUAUUAAGGCAAAAAUUGCAUAUUGCCUUCUUGCGUACACGUGUCUCUGUCUGACAAGCUGACUGCUUGAUUUUGACAUUCGGAAUCCCAUCUUGCAUUCUUACAUGUACAUGCCUUUAUUUGAUAUUCAGUUUGAUUUGAUUUUGCCUGCUUCAUAUAUUCGUCUCGCUUUCGGACAUGCUGUAAUCUGAUAUACUACUUCAUCAUACUGACUAGUGGUUCCGUACAUCUUGCCUUCUCGGACCGUCAAUGGUGUAUACUAACAUCUAGCUAUCGGACAUGCUGUAAUCUGACAUACUACUUCAUCAUACUCAAAUAGUGGUUACUUACAUCGUGCCUUCUUGGAACGUCAAUGGUGUAUACUUCUUAGUGAAAACAACUUAAGAAGUUUCUUAACUAUGUGAUUGCAAGGAGCUGGGUUAUGAAAUAAUUUCAGUGCAUUCUUAAAUUCUUGUUCAGGUGGAGAUAACCCUUUGUACGGAAACACACGAACUGUACCGAGAGUGUUAAGACUACACGUCCGGUAACCGCACUAAACACCAUAUAUUCCUAUUUGAAUCCAAGUAAAAUGAGUAUAUUUUUCGAGACUCUACCUUUAAUCGGAUAUAUAAAUAGCGCGCUAUAAAUAGCAUACAGAACAGAAUUAUGUCAUCACCUGAGUACUAGUCGAAAUAAUUACACGUUCAUACAUGUAUUGUUUUAUAUUUGUGACGCUGACGGGCAAUCUAAUUGGGUAUAUUGCCUAUAUGAAAAAAUAUCACAAUAUUUCCCGGGAUCGCGUCAAAUUAGUUGGACUACUGUUGCUUAUUCAAAGGAGACAUAAUAUCUAACAUUUUGAGAAAUAGCGCUGUGGUCAGCAUUUGUCUCACGUGAACUGUGGAGACAUUUGGAUACUGUACCUAAAUGUUCAUCACAAAGUGCUGGUGUUUUGAUAUCUACAAGAGCAGACGGCAACAGAAUUGGAGAUUACCCAAAUCUAAAGAUGUUGAGGAGUACAAGAAACAACAAAAAAGCUAUGAAAAACAAAUGAAAUAAAAACAACGUGAAAUUAUAUUGAAUCAUGGCCCUGGGUUCCAAACCGUUCGACAACAACGAAAAAAAAAACUUUUUUUUUAGCUCACCAUAGCACAGACUGCUUAAGGUGAGCUAUUGUGAGUGACCGGCGUCCGUCGGCGUGCGUCUUGCGUAAACAUUUGCCUUGUGAACACUCUA
rnacentral:lncRNA from 1 species